rnacentral:tRNA from 1 species
UUAUAGCUCAAUAGGUAGAGCACCAGGUUGUGAUCCUGGGUGUCGCGGGUUCGAUUCCCGCUAG